rnacentral:rRNA from 1 species
AGUGAACGCUGGCGGUAGGCCUAACACAUGCCAGUCGAACGGCAGCACAGUAAGAGCUUGCUCUUACGGGUGGCGAGUGGCGGACGGGUGAGGAAUACAUCGGAAUCUACUUUUUCGUGGGGGAUAACGUAGGGAAACUUACGCUAAUACCGCAUACGACCUACGGGGAAAGCAGGGGAUCUUCGGACCUUGCGCGAUUGAAUGAGCCGAUGUCGGAUUAGCUAGUUGGCGGGGUAAAGGCCCACCAAGGCGACGAUCCGUAGCUGGUCUGAGAGGAUGAUCAGCCACACUGGAACUGAGACACGGUCCAGACUCCUACGGGAGGCAGCAGUGGGGAAUAUUGGACAAUGGGCGCAAGCCUGAUCCAGCCAUACCGCGUGGGUGAAGAAGGCCUUCGGGUUGUAAAGCCCUUUUGUUGGGAAAGAAAAGCAGCAGGUUAAUACCCCGCUGUUCUGACGGUACCCAAAGAAUAAGCACCGGCUAACUUCGUG